rnacentral:rRNA from 1 species
AUUGAACGCUGGCGGCAGGCCUAACACAUGCAAGUCGAACGAGUGGCGGACGGGUGAGUAAUGUCUGGGAAACUGCCCGAUGGAGGGGGAUAACUACUGGAAACGGUAGCUAAUACCGCAUACCAUCGGAGGUGCCCAGAUGGGAUUAGCUAGAAGUUGGGGUAAAGGCUCACCUAGGCGACAAUCCAUAUAUGGUCUGAGAGGAUGACCAGCCACCCUGGAACUGAGACACGGUCCAGACUCCUACGGGAGGCAGCAGUGGGGAAUAUUGCACAAGGGGCGCAAGCCUGAUGCAGCCAUGCCGCGUGUAUGAAGAAGGCCUUCGGGUUGUAAAGUACUUUCAGCGGGGAGGCGUUACCCGCAGAAGAAGCACCGGCUAACUCCGUGCCAGCAGCCGCGGUAAUAC